AAUUCGCCAUUACUGUCUGAGAGAUGAAGCUAUUCCAUAUCUGAGA
rnacentral:snoRNA from 1 species